GGAGGAGCCAAGAUGGCCGAAUAGGAACAGCUCCUGUCUACAGCUCCCAGCUUGAGCCACGCAGAAGAUGGGUGAUUUCUGCAUUUCCAUCUGAGGUACCAGGCUACACCCUGCAAGGUCAUUAUCAUUAGCUGCACUUUACAGGAGAGGAAGCUGAGGCUCAGAGAAGCAAACUGCCCUCCUACUUAUGUUGAAGACUUUCCCAUCCUAUGAGCCCAGGUGGGAGAAGCUGAAAAUGGCAGAAGGUCACUUUUCCAGCUGCCCUGUGCCUGGUGAGCCUGUGACACAGACCCCGUUGCUCACAUAUCCACCCAGUUUGGUGCCAUAGGUGGUAGGCAGGUUGCAAACUCUGCGCUUAUGUGCCUCAAGAGACAGGGCUCUGGAUGUAUGAGGUCAAGGCUGUCUGAAGAAGAUGAAUAUGGUAGAGAUAAGGAGGAUUUUCCAGUGAUUGAAGAGAGACUUCCUAGUCAAGGACUGUGGUUUUGGAGCAGAGCAGCAGGGUCGUGUUCCCUGUCUCUGGCAGUACUCUGAACAUUGGCAGGACCUCAGAGUGGUGGCCCAAGGUGCCUAGGCUGCCAGCCUUGCCAAAACUUCCCUUCAAUCAGCUUGGUGAGGAAGGAGAAGGGGCUGAGGCAGUGGGAUUCUCAGUGGUAAUCCAGGGUGAACCAAUGUUCUAUAAUAAUAUUAGAGG
rnacentral:lncRNA from 10 species